rnacentral:lncRNA from 1 species
GAGCUGCCCAGGGCUGUGGGCAGCACCUGCCUGAGGCUGCUGGCCCCCGGGACACAGCAUCUUGGCAAGGGAGUACUUGGCUUGUGACAAGGAGGAUGACGAGGAGCAUGAGGAAUAUGCUCUGUCUUUUUGGAGACUCAAUUGAGUGGAGAAUGAGAAAAUGUUCCUGUUUGUGCCUGGCCCUGUUGGAACCCUGCGUGGCUCCAUCAAGCUCCAGCAUCCUGGGGUACUGAGCUGCCCAGACAAACCUACAGCGUUUGGUGACGGCACCGCACAUGAGCUGGCAGAUGGCCCCAUAAAGCUCUUUGGUAACAGCCCGAGACAAAACCUCUUCCUUAGAAGGUAUUUUUUCUGCACUUUGAAAGCAAGAGAACCUGGUCCAAAGACAAGCACAUUUGCAGAGGUGACAAAGCCAUCAGUACGAGCGCAUUCAUUCUGCGUCUGGACUUCGAAGCAUCCGCACAGCGAUGAGGGCCCUAUCUGGAAGAGCUGUGUGUUACUUUUUAAGGGAAUGAGCAAACGUACAACCUCAUUAACAUGAGUUACUGUUGUUAAAUAGCCAGGAGAUAUGAAAAGAAGAAGCAGGUUGGCAGGGCCUUGUGGUUCGCUUGCCAAAUGAGUAUGGAAUUGAAGAGGUUGCCAUGAAAAGGAAACUUCUUGCACAGUGAUUUACAGUGUGAGUGCCUGAGCAUAAACCAGAAAUACUUUAGGGGUUAGGAAAUACUGUGAUUUAAUAUGGAUUUCUGUGAUGAUAAAGUAAAUUCUUCCUUUUUUAAUAACAUCUUCUGUAAAGCUUCUUUUUAAAGAGGUCAGUCCACCAGAUAUACAGCAGAUAUGGGAUAUGGAGAACUCGGCUUUCUAAAAGCCACUGCAGAUGUAGUCCCUAGUCCUGGUAUCUGUGGCUAAUCUCACAAGUAUUCACACAGACUCUGCCCAAGAUAUAAGAUUUACAAUAUAAACCAUAAUACAAAACAGCCUCUUUAUCACCAUCUGCUGCAGUCUGAGGUUUACCCCAAGAAAUAAGAACGGUUACGGUGCUUUGCUCUCAACUGAUUUUGUGGAAAGCAGAAAACCCAGACUCCCCUGGUCUUCAGGUCCAGCGUAUUUCACCGUGAAGCUCCUACUCCUUCGUUAGAGAAUCCCAGAGCACAAGGAGCAAGAAGGAAAUCUCCUGUCAUUUAUGGGACGUAGCUGCAGGGCAAGCACGUUCCCUCUGGCGACGAGGCUCUCCUGUGCGAGGUGUUCAUCCCGACGGUUCUGUUCCAAGGAACUCUUCCUGCAUAUAAAUUAGCUUAACAUGGAACCAGUUUUGGCAAUAACUCUAAUUCAGUAAUCCAUACACCAAAGAAUUAAACAAAUGAAGGGAUUUUAAGUAUUAGAUUUGAUUGAAUAUUAAUGUGAUACUUCUUUAUAAUACAAACUAGCUGCUAAAGAAUUCUCUUUAAAGACCAUCUUUGAGUUCAGCCAAGAUAAAGUGCAGUGUGUGCCAUUUUGUAAUGGGAGAUAACCACUCCUAACAGGGUGUAUUUUGUGUUUGUACA